AGAGUUUGAUCCUGGCUCAGGAUGAACGCUAGCUACAGGCUUAACACAUGCAAGUCGAGGGGCAGCAUGUUGGUUGCUUGCAACCAAUGAUGGCGACCGGCGCACGGGUGAGUAACGCGUAUCCAACCUACCCUUGUCCAUCGGAUAACCCGUCGAAAGGCGGCCUAACACGAUAUGCGGUUCUCAGCAGGCAUCUAACGAGAACGAAAUGUGAAGGAGAAGGAUGGGGAUGCGUCUGAUUAGCUUGGUUGGCGGGGUAACGCCACAAGGCGACGAUCAGUAGGGGUUCUGAGAGGAAGGUCCCCCCAAUUGGAACUGAGACACGGUCCAAACUCCUACGGGAGGCA
rnacentral:rRNA from 1 species